rnacentral:lncRNA from 1 species
UUGGGUUAAAGUUUGCAUGAAGGUUUGUUGGGAUUGGGUCAAGUUAGUUUGCGAUUUCACUAAGGCCUCUAUGCUCUUUUCUAAGGAAUUGAGUCUCUUAUCCGAAUCAUUAAAUCCGGGAGGAUUCACGGGAGCUUGACUCGGGUUUUGAUAAGUAGGAAAAGAGUUAGGAUUGGGCCUUUGGAAAUUGGGUUGUGGAGUUUGAAAGUUUUG